rnacentral:rRNA from 1 species
UGCGUAGGCGGUUAUGUGUGUCAGAUGUGAAAGCCCAUGGCUCAACCAUGGAACUGCAUUUGAAACUGCAUAACUUGAGUAUCGGAGAGGUAGAUGGAAUUCUAGGUGUAGCGGUGAAAUGCGUAGAUAUCUAGAAGAACACCAGCGGCGAAAGCGAUCUACUGGACGAAUACUGACGCUGAGGCACGAAAGCCAGGGGAGCGAAGA